GACGGAGGAUGCAAGUGUUAUCCGGAAUCACUGGGCGUAAAGCGUCUGUAGGUGGUUCGAAAAGUCCACUGUUAAAAUUUGAGGCUUAACUUCAAAGAUGCCGUGGAAACUUUCAAACUAGAGUAUGGUAGGGGUAGAGGGAAUUUCCAGUGGAGCGGUGAAAUGCGUAGAUAUUGGAAAGACCACCGAUGGCGAAGGCACUCUACUGGGCCAUUACUGACACUGAGAGACGAAAGCUAGGGGAGCAAAUGGG
rnacentral:rRNA from 1 species